AGAAGGAGCGAAACAUCUUUGAGCAAGAUGGGUCUCUACCGCAUCCGCGUGUCCACUGGGGCCUCGCUCUAUGCCGGUUCCAACAACCAGGUGCAGCUGUGGCUGGUCGGCCAGCACGGGGAGGCGGCACUCGGGACGCGACUGUGGCCCGCACGGGGCAAGGAGACAGAAUUCAAGGUGGAAGUACCGGAGUAUCUGGGGCCGCUGCUGUUUGUGAAACUGCGCAAACGGCACCUCCUUAAGGACGACGCCUGGUUCUGCAACUGGAUCUCCGUGCAGGGCCCCGGAGCCGGGGACGAGGUCAGGUUCCCUUGUUACCGCUGGGUGGAGGGCAACGGCGUCCUGAGCCUGCCCGAAGGCACCGGCCGCACUGUGGGCGAGGACCCUCAGGGCCUGUUCCAGAAACACCGGGAAGAAGAGCUGGAAGAGAGAAGGAAGUUGUACCGGUGAGCCCUCCUCCCCUGACCCCACGUGAGCUGCUGAUGCUUCCAGCACCCAUACUUGAUUUCCUUCCUGCCCCACAGGUGGGGAAACUGGAAGGACGGGUUAAUUCUGAAUAUGGCUGGGGCC
rnacentral:sRNA from 1 species